AUGAACGCUGGCGGCGUGCCUAAUGCAUGCAAGUCGAGCGAACGGACGAGAAGCUUGCUUCUCUGAUGUUAGCGGCGGACGGGUGAGUAACACGUGGAUAACCUACCUAUAAGACUGGGAUAACUUCGGGAAACCGGAGCUAAUACCGGAUAAUAUUUUGAACCGCAUGGUUCAAAAGUGAAAGACGGUCUUGCUGUCACUUAUAGAUGGAUCCGCGCUGCAUUAGCUAGUUGGUAAGGUAACGGCUUACCAAGGCAACGAUGCAUAGCCGACCUGAGAGGGUGAUCGGCCACACUGGAACUGAGACACGGUCCAGACUCCUACGGGAGGCAGCAGUAGGGAAUCUUCCGCAAUGGGCGAAAGCCUGACGGAGCAACGCCGCGUGAGUGAUGAAGGUCUUCGGAUCGUAAAACUCUGUUAUUAGGGAAGAACAUAUGUGUAAGUAACUGUGCACAUCUUGACGGUACCUAAUCAGAAAGCCACGGCUAACUACGUG
rnacentral:rRNA from 1 species